ACAGUCUGCUCAUCAGUGAAAUACUAUAUCAUACCAAGAGUGGAAGACACAGGAUGCUGGAAGACCUACUGAGAAAGAGGAAGAUGGAAGGUUAAGUGCGGAUGGCUUUAUAUUACAGUCACAGGGACCAUGGGUCUCAAAUCCUAGUCCACAAGCUCUUAAGAGGUAGGCAGUCUCAGCCUACCACCUGCUGCUAGAAUAGCUGCUGAACUCUAGCAGAGGACUCCACUCCUGGGAUCUGAUUGGUGGAAUCCUGGGGGUCCUCAUUGGUCCCCAGCCUCUAUUCAACCCAAGCACAGGAAGAGGAAGUUGUCCAUGAUAAUGGGAUCUCCCUGCAUUGCACUGCUUCCUCUAUUAUACCUGCUCCUACUGACGAUUUGCUGGUAGGGUUGCCAACCCUCUAGGAUUGUCCUGGAGU